rnacentral:rRNA from 1 species
UGUGAAGAGAAGUCGUAACAAGGUUUUUGUAGGUGAAACUGCGGAAAGAUCAUUGUCG